UGCUGAAGCAUUUUUUACAAUAUGUAACAUGACUAAAUCCCACCACUUUGAAAGUCGCAGACUGAGUGAUAUGACCUUGAAAUCUUGCAAAGUAAUGGACAUGGUCUAUAGCAGAUGCUGCCUGACCUGAUAAGUUUCUCCAGCAAUUUCUGUUUGGUUUCAGGAAAAGUAUUGUUCAUCCUAAAACAAGGGAGUUUUUAAUGAUUGGUAGCAUUCCUGCAAAUGAUUAACUGGCUGUGCUGUAUCAAGGAAUGGACAUGGUGAAAGUGGGGGAAGAAGGGCCGAUAACAACAUGUGCACGAGCGCAGUUUGCAAACAGAAUAUGGGAGAAUAUAUAUCGAACAAAGCUGCAAAAAAAAUUCAACAUAAAUACAGAAGAAAAUAACCCCAUGUGACUGCAUUAUCCAGUAUGGAGGUUAGUGAGAAUGAAAAGGAGCCCCUGAAAAUGCCCCCAAAAAUCAAAAUGAAGUCCAUUGGAAUCUCUAACUAAGAACCAUUGGGGGAAUAGAAAAUUUGACCCCAGAUGCUACCAGUUGACUUUGAUAGGAUUUAUGUUCUGAGGAAAGGUCACCAGACCUGAAAUGUUAACUCUGAUUUGUCUUCACGGAUGCUGCCAGGCCUGCUGAGCUUUUCCAGCAACCUCUGUUUUUGUGACUUUGAUGGGAUUUGGCCUCAUGUUUCCAGGAAAAUAGAAUUGGCAUUCAGAAUAUUGUUGAAUGUCAGCACUCUGCCACCGCCAUCAUCCAAAUCUCCUCGAUGAGUUUCAAUUGCCGAGAUGCGUCAGAAAAUAAUUUUCCACAUUUAAUUUCCCUAAACCCCUGCUUUUUAAUCUGCUUUUCUUGCCUCUUCCAAAAGAUCGCGUGGGUUUUGGUGAGAUGGAGAAUGUGUAUAAUGGGAUACACAGGUAUUGCAACUGUGUGCAACAAGCUAAAUA